CCCCAUACUGUGCCCUGCUACUGGACGCGGAGAACGCAUUCAACUGCUGCGACAGACAGGUUUUCAUGGACGCCUUACAAAAAGAUUUCCCACCAGAAUUACAGGAUUUCUUUGCGCAGUUGUACCACGGGGAAUCUAAUAUUAUAUA
rnacentral:rRNA from 1 species